UGAGUAACCUGCCCUUCACUCUGGGAUAACUCCGGGAAACCGGGGCUAAUACUGGAUAUGACUCGAACAGGCAUCUGUUUCGGGUGGAAAGAUUUUAUUGGUGGAGGAUGGACUCGCGGCCUAUCAGCUUGUUGGUGAGGUAAUGGCUCACCAAGGCGACGACGGGUAGCCGGCCUGAGAGGGCGAUCGGCCACACGUGGGACUGGGACACGGCCCAGACCUCCGUACGGGGAGCA
rnacentral:rRNA from 1 species